GAGUUUGAUCAUGGCUCAGAUUGAACGCUGGCGGCAUGCCUUACACAUGCAAGUCGAACGGCAGCAUGAUCUAGCUUGCUAGAUUGACGGCGAGUGGCGAACGGGUGAGUAAUACAUCGGAACGUGCCCCGUAGUGGGGGAUAACUAGUCGAAAGAUUAGCUAAUACCGCAUACGACCUGAGGGUGAAAGUGGGGGACCGCAAGGCCUCAUGCUAUAGGAGCGGCCGAUGUCUGAUUAGCUAGUUGGUGGGGUAAAGGCCCACCAAGGCGACGAUCAGUAGCUGGUCUGAGAGGACGAUCAGCCACACUGGGACUGAGACACGGCCCAGACUCCUACGGGAGGCAGCAGUGGGGAAUUUUGGACAAUGGGCGAAAGCCUGAUCCAGCAAUGCCGCGUGUGUGAAGAAGGCCUCGGUUGUAAGU
rnacentral:rRNA from 1 species